AUUCUCUAUCUUUCCUUAAGUAACAGUUAUUGCGGGUCAGAAAUCUUUAUCUGUGGCAUUCACUGAAAAAUCUUAAACAUCUGGAACAUCAAUGCCUCCUUAAUGAGGAAUGCAACUUGUUUGGUGAUUCUGUGAAUGGACGGAUGUUCACCUUUGGUGUGGGCAUUCUUUAUUCCAUGAGAAGCUAUGUCAAGAGCCAUCCAUGGGCUGUGUGUGGACUACGUCGGCAUGGCAGCCCCAGUGAAUAGAAACAGCUGGUGUUCGGGAACACCGAACUCCCAUGGAGUCCUACAGAGUGAGAUUGCGCAAAUACAUGUUGUGAGAUGCUCAAACAUCCUAGUAGCCCACCUAGGCUCUGGCCUCCUGAUGGAUGAUUUACUAAACUGAACCAGUUCAAAGAAGUAAGCGAUGCAACACAGAGGAUGGGCUCGUGCAGCCACCUACUACGGAUGGAUAACCUCUUUGCUUUCUACCUUUCAUCUUCACUAUUACAACAGCCUCAUCACUGUUCUUCCUUUGGAAUAAACACAGACCUGGACUCUCA